UUAAGCUACAAAGAGCGUAGGGAGAAUGCCUAGGUACCAAGAGCCGAAGAAGGACGUGAUAAGCUGCGAAAAGCCACGGGGAGGAGCAAAUAUCCAUCGAGCCGUGGGUGUCCGAAUGAGGGAACUCAUACAGUAAAAAAAGACUGUAUAUCCAUACAUGAGUAAAGUAGUGUAUAGGAAGGGAACGUGGGGAACUGAAACAUCUUAGUACCCAUAGGAAAAGAAAGUAAUAACGAUUCCUGAAGUAGUGGCGAGCGAAACAGGAAGAGCCCAAACCAUAGAUAGUAAUAUUUGUGGGGUUCGGAUUAUCAAUAAAGCCAAGAAUGAUGUUAGUAGAAUUACCAGGGAAGGUAAACCAAAGAAGGUGAAAGUCCUGUAUAUGAAAACAGAGUGAAGGCGAGAUAAAUCCAGAGUAGUGCGAGACACGAGAAAUCUCGUAUGAAAGAGCGGAGACCAUUCCGUAAGGCUAAAUACUACUUGGUAACCGAUAGAGAACAAGUACCGUGAGGGAACGGUGAAAAGGACCCCGGGAGGGGAGUGAAAGAGAACCUGAAACCCUAUGUUUACAAGCAGAUAGAGCGAUUUAAGGCGCGAUAUCGUACUUUUUGUAGAACGGUCCAGCGAGUUAUUGUAUAUGGCGAGGUUAAGUUCUGAAUAAGGAAUGGAGCCGAAGAGAAAUCGAGUCUGAAUAGGGCGAUAUAAGUCAUAUAUAAUAGACCCGAAACCGGGUGACCUAUCCAUGGUCAGGAUGAAGCUGAAGUAAAAUUCAGUGGAGGUCCGAACUGAUUGUCGUUAAAAAGGCACCGGAUGAACUGUGGAUAGCGGAGAAAUUCCAAUCGAACUCGGAGAUAGCUGGUUCUCCUCGAAAUAGCUUUAGGGCUAGCCUUGAGGUAAAAGAAUUAUGGGGGUAGAGCACUGAAUGAGGUAGGGGCCAAACCAGGUUACUGAACUCUAUCAAACUGCGAAUACCAUAAUUAGAAUACUCAGGAGUCAGACUGCGGGAGCUAAGUUCCGUGGUCAAAAGGGAAAGAGCCCAGACCGACAAUUAAGGUCCCAAAGAUAUAGUUAAGUGGAAAACGAUGUGAAUUUGCAUAAACAACCAGGAUGUUGGCUCAGAAGCAGCCACUCAUUCAAAGAGUGCGUAACAGCUCACUGGUCGAGUGAAUUUGCGCGGAAAAUUACCGGGGCUAAACUAUACACCGAAAUUUCGGAUUUACGUAUGAAAAUAUGUAAGUGGUAGAGGAGCAUUCUGUAGUAGGACGAAGUCAAAGCGAAAGCAUUGGUGGACGAGGCAGAAGAGAGAAUGCUGGAAUAAGUAGCGAGAGCAAGGUGAGAAUCCUUGCCGUCGAAAGUCUAAGGUUUCCUGGGGAAGGUUCGUCCGCCCAGGGUAAGUCGGGGCCUAAGGAGAGGCCGAAAGGCGUAUCUGAUGGAUAGCAGGUGGAGAUUCCUGCACUAUAGCUAGUUUUAAAAGAUGCAAGGGACGCAGUAGAGGAAGAUAACCAAGGAAGAGGAAAGACUUGGUCCGCAAGGGAUAGUGAAAAUUAAUAGUAACGAAAUAUCAAGAAUCACACUGACGAGAAAAGCUUGUAGAUAUUAACUAGAAAUACCCGUACCGCAAACCGACACAGGUAGAUGAGGAGAGGAUCCUAAGACGAGCGGGAGAAGCAUUGUUAAGGAACUCGGCAAAAUAACCCCGUAACUUCGGGAGAAGGGGAACCUAAGUAAAAUUAGGUCGCAGAGAAAAGGCCCAAGCAACUGUUUAACAAAAACACAGGUUUCUGCAAAAUCGAAAGAUGAAGUAUAGGAGCUGACGCCUGCCCAGUGCUGGAAGGUUAAGGGAAAGAGUUAGAUGUAAAUCGAAGCUUAGAACUAAAGCCCCAGUGAACGGCGGCCGUAACUAUAACGGUCCUAAGGUAGCGAAAUUCCUUGUCAGGUAAGUUCUGACCCGC
rnacentral:rRNA from 1 species